rnacentral:rRNA from 1 species
UGGGGGAUAUUGCACAAUGGGCGCAAGCCUGAUGCAGCGACGCCGCGUGAGGGAUGAAGGCUUUCGGGUUGUAAACCUCUUUCGGUACAGAACAAGGCACGUUUUUUGCGUGUGGAGGGUAUGUGCAGAAGAAGCGCCGGCUAACUACGUGCCAGCAGCCGCGGUAAUACGUAGGGCGCGAGCGUUGUCCGGAAUUAUUGGGCGUAAAGGGCUCGUAGGCGGCUUGUUGCGCCUGCUGUGAAAACGCGGGGCUUAACUCCGCGCGUGCAGUGGGUACGGGCAGGCUUGAGUGUGGUAGGGGUGACUGGAAUUCCAGGUGUAGCGGUGGAAUGCGCAGAUAUCUGGAGGAACACCGAUGGCGAAGGCAGGUCACUGGGCCAUUACUGACGCUGAGGAGCGAAAGCGUGGGUAGCGAACAGG